rnacentral:rRNA from 1 species
AACGCUGAAGCCUGGUGCUUGCACCGGGUGGAUGAGUGGCGAACGGGUGAGUAACACGUGAGUAACCUGCCCCUGACUUCGGGAUAAGCCCGGGAAACUGGGUCUAAUACCGGAUACGACUGCCGGACGCAUGUCUGGUGGUGGAAAGUUUUUUCGGUUGGGGAUGGGCUCGCGGCCUAUCAGUUUGUUGGUGAGGUAAUGGCUCACCAAGACGACGACGGGUAGCCGGCCUGAGAGGGCGACCGGCCACACUGGGACUGAGACACGGCCCAGACUCCUACGGGAGGCAGCAGUGGGGAAUAUUGCACAAUGGGGGAAACCCUGAUGCAGCGACGCAGCGUGCGGGAUGACGGCCUUCGGGUUGUAAACCGCUUUCAGCAGGGAAGAAGCGCAAGUGACGGUACCUGCAGAAGAAGUACCGGCUAACUACGUGCCAGCAGCCGCGGUAAUACGUAGGGUACGAGCGUUGUCCGGAAUUAUUGGGCGUAAAGAGCUCGUAGGUGGUUGGUCACGUCUGCUGUGGAAACGCAACGCUUAACGUUGCGCGUGCAGUGGGUACGGGCUGACUAGAGUGCAGUAGGGGAGUCUGGAAUUCCUGGUGUAGCGGUGAAAUGCGCAGAUAUCAGGAGGAACACCGGUGGCGAAGGCGGGACUCUGGGCUGUAACUGACACUGAGGAGCGAAAGCAUGGGGAGCGAACAGGAUUAGAUACCCUGGUAGUCCAUGCCGUAAACGUUGGGCACUAGGUGUGGGGGGCAUUCCACGUUCUCC